rnacentral:rRNA from 1 species
UCUUGGUCAUUUAGAGGAAGUAAAAGUCGUAACAAGGUCUCCGUUGGUGAACCAGCGGAGGGAUCAUUACUGAGUUUACGCUCUACAACCCUUUGUGAACAUACCUAUAACUGUUGCUUCGGCGGGUAGGGUCUCCGCGACCCUCCCGGCCUCCCGCCUCCGGGCGGGUCGGCGCCCGCCGGAGGAUAACCAAACUCUGAUUUAACGACGUUUCUUCUGAGUGGUACAAGCAAAUAAUCAAAACUUUUAACAACGGAUCUCUUGGUUCUGGCAUCGAUGAAGAACGCAGCGAAAUGCGAUAAGUAAUGUGAAUUGCAGAAUUCAGUGAAUCAUCGAAUCUUUGAACGCACAUUGCGCCCGCCAGCAUUCUGGCGGGCAUGCCUGUUCGAGCGUCAUUUCAACCCUCAAGCUCUGCUUGGUGUUGGGGCCCUACAGCCGAUGUAGGCCCUCAAAGGUAGUGGCGGACCCUCCCGGAGCCUCCUUUGCGUAGUAACUUUACGUCUCGCACUGGGAUCCGGAGGGACUCUUGCCGUAAAACCCCCCAAUUUUCCAAAGGUUGACCUCGGAUCAGGUAGGAAUACCCGCUGAACUUAAGCAUAUCAAUAAGCCGGAGGAAA